ACAAAGGCUCUUUUCAGAGCCACCCAGUUUUUCUGUAAAGCGCUG
rfam:Cavia porcellus supercont2_38 genomic scaffold, whole genome shotgun sequence.